rnacentral:lncRNA from 1 species
UUAGUUUAACAUGUGAAAUGUCCGUAAAGUAUCAUCAUAUGAUUGGCUUUAGGGCACAUUUCCAACAGAAAGUUCAUUUAUAAACUCUCUAUUCGGUUCUAACUAGAAAGUGUCUCUAGUGUACCGACACUACGACACUAAUGGGGCGAUAGCUUAAGCUAGGGAAAACUCAAAUGAGAGACUGAACCACAUGAUUGAGAAUCAUGUAUAAUGGUGACGUCGUUAUUCUCAAGGUUGUUUCCAUGGAUAACAUAUAGAUAUCCAUUGUCUAGGCCAACUACUCAGCCAUUUUUUUGAAUGAAUUCAGAAAAGGUAUCAUCACUAAUGACCAAGCUGAUUAGCUCUAGUGCAAAUGGGAGAUUGUUGGAAAUGUGCCCUAUAGCCAAUCAUAUGAUGAUACUUUAUGGACAUUUAACAUGUUAAACUAAUCCAGUUUAAUAUAAAGGGCAAAGAUUAUUGUUUAAAUUCGUCUCAUAUAAAUGUUAUAUGCUUAAACGAUAAGUCCAAGGAAUAUGCAAUUGGGAGAAUGUGAUCUAAAGCAGUUAGAUUCAUGAGACGAUUCUUUUUUGUAUACAUACCCUAAAUGUUACCGAUCAUAGGAUUGCCAAUUAGGCAUUGACAGUGCUUUAAAGUCAGUACGUGCUAUGUCUUCUUUUAGGGAGAGUGAUUGGUCUUAAGUCAUUGGUAUAACUGACACCAAGACAAGCAUAAAGGUGCUCAAUAGAGAACGAGUCCACUCAACACGAUCAACGAGAAGUUCUCAUACUCAUUUCACAUGAGAAAUCAUGGUUAGGAUAAUGAAAAGUAGUCAUUUGACCUGAGACAUCAUAGUUGUCUUGUGGUUAGGUCCUUGAUUUUUGACUAUGUCAAAGUCACUUCGUUAGAGGGUGUCCACGACAUAGUUGGGGUUAAGCCACUUAGCCACGGAGGCAAGUGACUGUGCAACAAGGGAUCUCUAGCCUUCAAACCUUUUGAGGGAGAAUACUCUAUGAUAUCAUUAAGAAUCUCUGGCCAGAGUAUGAAUGAGAUUUAGGAAGUCGUUCCAAAUCACAUUCAAGGUAAUCAUAUGAGUAAGAGAAUCACAUUGGAUAGUAGACAUGAAUAAACUAUCAAACCAAACAAUGUGGUCAAGAGUAUUAUAUUAGAGAAAGACCGUAUUGCAUUGUAAUCCUAAACUGAAUAGGUUCUCCACCUCUUCUGAUUAGCUUGGGUAGCCAUGAUAUACUGAUAGCUGUCAUUCAUGGUUUGUGGAAGCCUUAAAGGUGUAUAAUCACUAAAGGGAGAAUUGAAAGUAUGUUUCAAUUCACAAUCGAUUUGAAGAGUUCUAAUCGCCCAUUGCCUUGCUAAAAGGAACCUAAUAGAUCAUACACCGUGUAAGGUAGAGAUUGAAGAAACAAUGAAGAUGAGUAAGGAUAAUUAAAUGGUUUAAUUAUUUAUGGCUAUGAUUAAUUAAUAUGUUAAUUAAUCGAAUGAAUAAGUUCGUUAUAAACCUCGGGUUGGUUUUGGCCCGCAAGGCCCAAUGGGAUUUGAAUGUCAAGCCCAUUAACUCAAGUUGUAUGACAACUUGAAAACACAAAAGGCUUCAAGGCCCAAAUAACCUAUAAUGGCCGGCCAUGUAGAAAGGGGUAGUGAACUUGCCUUAAUUGCAAGUUUGCCACUCCAUUGUGAGGUGGUAUGAAGGCAACUUUAAAGCCAUUUCAUCCUUAGGGUUUUUCUUUGUAGAUAAGAUGAGAACAAAAGCUCUCUUGACUGUCUAAGAGGCCGGCCACCCUAGAGGAACAUAUCUAGCAAUCUUCCUUCGUCUAGGUCACUCAUCUCUUCAUGAAUGCUCUCCUGGGCGUGGAGACUUAGAGGUUCUCUAUUUUGGGAACUUGGAGAAUACAUUCAUCUAUCCUCCUCCAAGAAAUCCAUGGAGCUAAUAAGUAAGGAAAGAAAGCCCUCUCUCUUGGGUGAUUAGCCUUUGCUUAUGCAAAGAGGAAUCAACAAAGGUGUAAUAUGUCUAAACUCGCUUUGUUCUUGAGUUGAGUCUUGGUUCACCAUAACUACUAGGCUUUGAAUUUCAUGGGUUAAGUUUUGUUUUUGAGUGCAUACAAGCAUGAUUCCGCCUUUUAAUUAUUAAUAGCAUGCAUAGAUGUUGCUCAAAUGAACUAGUUUUCACAAAUAUUUCCUUCAACUGCCACGUGAUGAGCGGACCCCAAGUAUCAUGAUGUGAGAAUUACUUGACACACAAAUUAAACCCUAUUGAUGACAAUUGUAGUAAUGAUGCAAGUAGGGAUCGUUCUAGACCGGGGAUUAACUAGGGAUGCUAAUCAACAAAUAUAAGACUCAAGAAUAUAAGAAGAAACUUAAAAACACAAAAGUAGGUUUUAAAACACUAAACUAGACUCAAAGAGUUCAAAACACUUUAAGGCACAAACUAAACAAACUUAAACACACUUCGAU